AUGCAGUCGAGCGGAUGACGGGAGCUUGCUCCUUGAUUCAGCGGCGGACGGGUGAGUAAUGCCUAGGAAUCUGCCUGGUAGUGGGGGACAACGUUUCGAAAGGAACGCUAAUACCGCAUACGUCCUACGGGAGAAAGCAGGGGACCUUCGGGCCUUGCGCUAUCAGAUGAGCCUAGGUCGGAUUAGCUAGUUGGUGGGGUAAUGGCUCACCAAGGCGACGAUCCGUAACUGGUCUGAGAGGAUGAUCAGUCACACUGGAACUGAGACACGGUCCAGACUCCUACGGGAGGCAGCAGUGGGGAAUAUUGGACAAUGGGCGAAAGCCUGAUCCAGCCAUGCCGCGUGUGUGAAGAAGGUCUUCGGAUUGUAAAGCACUUUAAGUUGGGAGGAAGGGCAGUAAGCUAAUACCUUGCUGUUUUGACGUUACCGACAGAAUAAGCACCGGCUAACUCUGUGCCAGCAGCCGCGGUAAUACAGAGGGUGCAAGCGUUAAUCGGAAUUACUGGGCGUAAAGCGCGCGUAGGUGGUUCGUUAAGUUGGAUGUGAAAGCCCCGGGCUCAACCUGGGAACUGCAUCCAAAACUGGCGAGCUAGAGUACGGUAGAGGGUGGUGGAAUUUCCUGUGUAGCGGUGAAAUGCGUAGAUAUAGGAAGGAACACCAGUGGCGAAGG
rnacentral:rRNA from 1 species